rnacentral:rRNA from 1 species
AUGACGCUGGGGACGCGAGCGGCGGAUGGGUGAGUAACACGUGGGGAACCUGCCCCAUAGUCUGGGAUACCACUUGGAAACAGGUGCUAAUACCGGAUAAGAAAGCAGAUCGCAUGAUCAGCUUAUAAAAGGCGGCGUAAGCUGUCGCUAUGGGAUGGCCCCGCGGUGCAUUAGCUAGUUGGUAAGGUAACGGCUUACCAAGGCAAUGAUGCAUAGCCGAGUUGAGAGACUGAUCGGCCACAUUGGGACUGAGACACGGCCCAAACUCCUACGGGAGGCAGCAGUAGGGAAUCUUCCACAAUGGACGCAAGUCUGAUGGAGCAACGCCGCGUGAGUGAAGAAGGUUUUCGGAUCGUAAAGCUCUGUUGUUGGUGAAGAAGGAUAGAGGUAGUAACUGGCCUUUAU